rnacentral:rRNA from 1 species
CCUACGGGCGGCAGCAGUGGGGAAUAUUGGACAAUGGGCGAAAGCCUGAUCCAGCCAUGCCGCGUGUGUGAAGAAGGCCUUCGGGUUGUAAAGCACUUUCAGUGGGGAAGAAAGCCUUGGGGCUAAUACCCUCGAGGAAGGACAUCACCCACAGAAGAAGCACCGGCUAACUCCGUGCCAGCAGCCGCGGUAAUACGGAGGGUGCGAGCGUUAAUCGGAAUUACUGGGCGUAAAGCGCGCGUAGGCGGUCUGAUAAGCCGGUUGUGAAAGCCCCGGGCUCAACCUGGGAACGGCAUCCGGAACUGUCAGGCUAGAGUGCAGGAGAGGAAGGUAGAAUUCCCGGUGUAGCGGUGAAAUGCGUAGAGAUCGGGAGGAAUACCAGUGGCGAAGGCGGCCUUCUGGACUGACACUGACGCUGAGGUGCGAAAGCGUGGGUAGCAAACAGGACUAGAUACCCGGGUAGUC